CAUCCUCCAAGGCUAAAUACUCCUGACUGACCGAUAGUGAACCAGUACCGUGAGGGAAAGGCGAAAAGAACCCCGGCGAGGGGAGUGAAAAAGAACCUGAAACCGUGUACGUACAAGCAGUGGGAGCACCUUCGGGUGUGACUGCGUACCUUUUGUAUAAUGGGUCAGCGACUUAUAUUCUGUAGCAAGGUUAACCGUAUAGGGGAGCCGGAGGGAAACCGAGUCUUAACCGGGCGUUAAGUUGCAGGGUAUAGACCCGAAACCCGGUGAUCUAGCCAUGGGCAGGUUGAAGGUUGGGUAACACUAACUGGAGGACCGAACCGACUAAUGUUGAAAAAUUAGCGGAUGACCUGUGGCU
rnacentral:rRNA from 2 species